rnacentral:tRNA from 1 species
AGAGAUGUAGCUCAGUGGUAGAGCACUUAUCUAGCACAUGGGAAGCCCUGGGUUCCAUCUCCAGUAUCACAA